rnacentral:misc_RNA from 1 species
UAGGUGGUCACUGUUGCCUUUCACUGAUACCCCAUCCAUUGCAGCUACACACGCGAAGCGCCUCUCUCUCUGUGUAGAGAAGACCCAGGCGAAGGUGUCAAUACCCGAAGACGCCUGACGUGCACUCCUUUAUAUCAUCUGUCGCCUCGCUCGUCAACAUACAUCUCUACAGACCCCCUCCCUCCCUCCCCCCUCAAACACACACACACACACACACACACACACACAUCAGCCAUGGAUAGCGCCUACUUAAAAAAUCAUGUGGGUAUGCUCCUGGCGAAGGGUGUCGCAGAGACGGUCACAGCGCAGCCCAGCAACCCGCAGGAGUACCUCGCCCUCUUCCUCCUCCAUCAGCUCCAGGAGGAGGAGCGCAAGGUGGACGCCGCAACGCGGCGUCGUAAGGUGGAUGACCUGCGGCAGGAAUGGUGCCAGCAGCGUGCGUUGCACGAGAAGGCAGCUGUUGACGUGAUCCAGCGCUGCUUUCACCGCUUCCAGGAUCGCCUUCGCAAGAAGCGAGCCGCCGAGGAGGAACUGCGGGAGGUUUACGAAGCGGCCGAAGCCGAGGCGGAGGAGCUGCUGGACGAGGAGGAGGCGAUCAAGGCGGAGAAAGGCGGCGAGGACGCUGGCGAGGACGGUGCAGGGGCGACGUCGGAGAGGGACUCGGCUUCUCGCGCCGCCGCAGCGCAGGAGAAGGAGGCCGUGAUGGCCGAGGCCCGCAGAGAGUUCUUCAAGGCACAGCGAUUCCUGCUGACUCUCCCCAAGAGCGCGGUGGGCCAGCUGAAGCACGAGCUGGAGGAGGAGGCAGAGCGGGUGCGCAUUGCGCAGGAUGCCACACUCGGUGCUUACCACCGUGCUGCUGCACAGGAGGCCGCGCUCGUGGAGGCGACCACCGCACCUUCGAUGGCAAGUGCCGCUCCCGCGCUCUCCCCUGCCGCGGCGGAACUGGCGGAGCGCCUCACGGAGCAUCGCGACCACCGCUGCAUCUGCGUCCCGUACGUCAAAUACCUUGUCUUUCGCUGCUUGUGCUACCUCCUGCUCAAUGCCACGCCCAAGGCGACGAGCUCGGCCGAAAAGGUGGCCGCGCUGCUGAAGCCGUCGGUGCUGGUACAGCAUCUGCGUGCCUUCAAUCCGGUAGCCUCAUACGACCGCGGGGUGGCGCUCAAGCUGGAGCGAAUUGUGCCAGAGCUAGCCGAUUCGACCGGCGGUGAUGAGGGCAACGACGAGGGUGAUGGCGUGGGGCGCCCCAAGCAGAAUGGCACGUCGGCAGAGGAGGAGGGCGCCAGCGUCCCGUUCAUGCAGCCGACGACGCGCCAGGUGCGCCGCGCCGCGCGUGUUCUGCGGACCUGCUGGCUGGAUGGGGAGUACCAUUGCGAGGUCGACCCGGAGGAGUUCUACACGGAGGAGAUGAUCGAAGAGGAUGCCGCCAGGGCGGAGGCCGACAGAGAAGAAGGUGAACCGAGGCAGAAGCUCAUCCCGACUCUGGCGGACGAGGUGGAGGCAGCGGCCAAGGUGCGCGAGCGGGUGGAGGAGCUGCGCAACGUUGUCGAGACGCAGGUGAAGCAGCGCGGAGGUACGGUGAUGUACGCCCUGCUGCGCUUUGUGUCCGCCGCCGUGGCGUACCGCCAGGCUCGCGAUGCCGUCGUGCAGCAGCGACAAGAGAUGGGGCUGCCGGUGGAUACCUUCGAUGAGUUGCCCGAGGACGAGGCCGAGGACCCUAUGAACGACGAGGCGCUGAUAGACGAGGAGACCGGCGAGCUGGACGCGGCGGGGGUGCAGGUGCUGCAGGAGCGCAUCGGCGUAGACACGGAGGAGGCGCUAGCGAAGAUAUGGGAGGCUCGCGACAGACGUCAGCGCGAGGCGUACUCGAUGAAGGCGAUCAGUCUACAGCGUCAGCUCGACGCUAGUGGAGAGGAGGAAGAGGACGAAGACUAGAACGCUCGGGUACGCCCCGGUUGAGCACCGCCGCAAGCUGCCGGCGGGGGGUGGGGAGGUGACACCUCCUCAACACGCACCCACUCACAAACGAAGCCGCACACACACACACACACACACACACACACACACACACACACACACACAGAGGAUACGCGCGCGCAGGCGCGUUUUCAGGCCCCGUGCCCUCCCCACUCUUUGUUGUUGAGCCACGUGUGUUCCUCCGCGAACUUUUCACUCUGCACAAUUGCGUGUGCCCCGCUCUGCCUCUCUCUCACUCUGACUUUGCGUAUUCGUGCACGUCCAUGCAUGGCACGCGCAUGCGUGACUGACGCCUUUGUGCCCGUGCAGACGUCUUCCCCUUCGCCUUCUUGGCCGGUUGCCUUUGCGAUGUACGUGAAUGCGCUUCGAGUGCCCCGCCCGCCCCGCCUCUUGCGUGGUUUCGUAUGUAUUUUGAUGUAUAGUUGCAUGCCAGAAGCGCUGCGGAUCCCCCACACACUUUUUUCUCUUGUGGUGUUCGUCCGCUCUCUCCUCGGCAGAUAUGUGCGCGAGGCGUCCCGAUCCGCGGCUGCUCCUGGUACUGUCGUGUUCCUUGUGGGGCGUGGGACGCACCACUCUUAUUUUGCUGCGCGUUGGGCGGGUCUCCCUCUCUCUGUGCCCGACUGCCCGUGCUUGCAUGUGCCUCUCAGUCUGGCUGCACUCGCUGUGUGUGUGUGUGCGUGCGCGCGCGUUUCCCCCUCCUCCGCGCGCGCCAUCUCUUCGUCUCUCUCUCUCUCUGUCGAUGAUGCUCUCUGUACAGGUGCGAAGCAGACAUAUCGGAACGAAGCACCACUCUGCUAGUGUGCGGGGGGUGAUCGCGUUAAACGUAUGCGUGCGUGCGGAUCGAUGAUGAGAAAGCGACCGAGCUCUUUCUUCGAUCUGUCUCCACACACACACGCACGCACACACACACACACACGCGCACGCACGCACGUACACUGACAGACUGCCCCCUCCCUCCCUCGCUGAUCUCGGCAAUGUGUGCGGCUCAUUGCCUAGACGAUGUGACCGGACGUAGGAGACACUCACCCCGCAGCACGCAUCCUGUGCUAUGGGUGUGCCUCUUUCUCUCUACUGAU